GUUCAUCAUGUCUCAUUUCAUUGUACUAAAUAGUUUCUGAGGUACUUCAAAUAAGCUAAAUAUAACAGACAUCACCAUAGCUCUGGCUAACCUUUUUAAAGGAAUUUUUCCUUGCAUUACACUCAGGGAGGAAGGGUAGGGCAGAGGGCAUUCACCUUUUUCUCGGCAGCAAUAAAUUUCCGUAGCCUAAACAGCUGGCUAGUUUCUGUGCUCUCUCUCGCCAGCUGAUGUAUUUAAACCCUGUUUCCCUUUUUUUUUUUUUUUGUUUGUUUUUUGUUUGUUUGUUUGUUUUGUUUGUUUGUUUUUUUUUUUUUUUUUUCCCUCCCUCCUUCCUUGGCAAGAAGGUUGCAUACUCUCUCUCUCCCUUGUUGCAGCCUUAGUGCAGAAUCCUGUUCUUUGGUAAGGGCAGUCUGGCGUUCCCUCUCCUCACCCCAAAAGAUGGAGCCUAGCAAGGGCUGCAGAGUCCAGCUGUUCUACAGCUGUGAAUCUCCCAGAAUUCAUCUCCCAUGUGUCUCAUACUUAAGGCCAGAAUUAUUAAGAACUGGAGUGUGAUGUCUGGCACUGAUGGCUUGACUUUGUGGUCUGAGUCUUCUUUAAGAUGAUGGACAUACGUGUACUCACAUCUCUGAAAACAGGACUCUUGAGAACGGGAAGUCUCUCUUCAGGAAGAUGAGUUACCGUGGUCACCCAGAACAUGACAUUUUGCCCACAGUUGUUAUGUGCGUUACCCUGUUAACUUUUUUUUUUAUAACCAUGCCAGUUUCACAUCUGCCUUUGCUACUGCAGGUUAUUUUGUAAUGUGACUCUGGAUAGGAUGCUGUUCUUAAAGGUUGUAUCUUAUAUUGGCAGCAACUAAUAUCCCAACGGAGAUUUUGCUUCUACAUUUAUCAACUGAAACUUGAUGCUAGAGUUUUACUCAUUUUUAAAAGCGAAGAAGUUCAUAUCCUAUGUUUGCAUAUCUUGAAUAAUGUUCCUUGUCACUAAGAUAUUAAAGUUUCGUGUAAAAGUUCUUUCUCUCCUUCUCUCUAGUUAUGGUAAGCUAGAGCCCAAAGUCCUGUGAACCAACUUCAUACUAGCUCUGUCUUCUGGUGAGACCAUUGCUGUGAUGUGCUGUCUCCAGACACCCUGUCAGCAG
rnacentral:lncRNA from 1 species